GACGAACGCUGGCGGCGUGCUUAACACAUGCAAGUCGAACGGUGAAGCGCCUUCCUUUUUGGUGGGUGUGGAUGAGUGGCGAACGGGUGAGUAACACGUGAGUAACCUGCCCCCUUUUUCUGGAUAACCGCAUGAAAGUGUGGCUAAUACGGGAUAUUCUGGGUCUGUCGCAUGAUGGGUCUGGGAAAGAUAUUGUUUCGGUGGGGGAUGGGCUCGCGGCCUAUCAGCUUGUUGGUGGGGUGAUGGCCUACCAAGGCGGUGACGGGUAGCCGGCCUGAGAGGGUGGGCGGUCACACUGGGACUGAGACACGGCCCAGACUCGUACGGGAGGCAGCAGUGGGGAAUAUUGCACAAUGGGCGCAAGCCUGAUGCAGCGACGCCGCGUGAGGGAUGGAGGCCUUCGGGUUGUGAACCUCUUUCGCCAGUGAAGCAGGCCUGCCUCGUUUGUGGGUGGGUUGACGGUAGCUGGAGAAGAAGCGCCGGCUAACUACGUG
rnacentral:rRNA from 1 species